AUUGAACGCUGGCGGCAAGCCUAACACAUGCAAGUCGAACGAGUGGCGGACGGGUGAGUAAUGUCUGGGAAACUGCCUGAUGGAGGGGGAUAACUACUGGAAACGGUAGCUAAUACCGCAUACCAUCGGAUGUGCUCAGAUGGGAUUAGCUAGUAGGUGGGGUAAAGGCUCACCUAGGCGACGAUCCCUAGCUGGUCCUGGAGGAUGACCAGCCACACUGUAACUGAGCCACGGUCCAGAGUCGUGCGGGAGGCAGCGGUGGUGAAUAUUGCACAAUGAGCUCAGGCCUUAUGCAGCCCUGCCGCGUGUAUGAAGAAGGCCGUCGGGUUGUAAAGUACGUUCAGCGGGGAGGCGUUGCCCGCAGAAGAGGCACCGGCUAACUCCGUGCCGGCAGCCGCGGUAAUUC
rnacentral:rRNA from 1 species